AACGAACGCUGGCGGCAUGCCUAACACAUGCAAGUCUAACGAGACCUUCUGGUCUAGUGGCGCAAGGGUGCGUAACGCGUGGGAACCUGCCCUUAGGUUCGGAAUAACUCCCCGAAAGGGGUGCUAAUACCGGAUAAUGUCUUCGGACCAAAGAUUUAUCGCCUUUGGAUGGGCCCGCGUUGGAUUAGCUAGUUGGUAGGGUAAAAGCCUACCAGGGCGACGAUCCAUAGCUGGUCUGAGAGGAUGAUCAGCCACACUGGGACUGAGACACGGCCAAGAUUCUUACGGGAGGCAGCAGUGGGGAAUAUUGGACAAUGGGCGAAAGCCUGAUCCAGCAAUGCCGCGUGAGUGAUGAAGGCCUUAGGGUUGUAAAGAUCUUUUACCCGGGAUGAUAAUGACAGUACCGGGAGAAUAAGCUCAGGCUAACUCCGUG
rnacentral:rRNA from 1 species